UUACGGCCACAUCACGUUGAAAUCCUGUUUCCCGUAGGAUCAUCGAAGUUAAGCAACAUGGAGUCUGGUCAGUACCUAGAUGGGUGACCGCUUGGGAAUAUGAAACGCUGU